CUUGCCCACGUGGCCUGGAUGGAGGGAGUCUCCUGGGCGCGGGGGUCCCACGGAGGAGGAAGCGGCUCGGGGGGCGAGGGCAGGAGGAGGAUGCGGCGCUCUGAGGGCAGGAGGAAGAGCACGGCCACGGGCUCAGGCGGCCCCACCAGCUCCCACCCCUCUCGACGAAGACACACGGCCUCCCCCACCAGAGGCCUUCCCGGCCAGACGCAGAGCCCGCCUGCGUCCCGGGUUGGGCCUCCAAGCAAGCCAAGGGCACUCAGGCCCCAGACGGCCCCUCGGGCGCUCCAGUCCUCGGCUCACCCACCGGACCACGAGGCAUCGAACCCCAGAUGGGAUGCCGGAACCCUGCCCCAUCUCAGAGCUGAGGCUGAGCCACCCGGGCCCACAGGCUCCGAGGCACCACGGACCCAAAGGCGAGUCCCUGGGAACCUCCUUGGCCUUCGCCCAGACCAACUGCCACCAUGACCUGAACCCAGAGAGGUGGCCCGGGAGCGAGGGGCAGAGGGGCCUGCGGGGGCUCUGGCGCCGCCUGGUGGACACGCGCUCGAACAGCACGUCUCGGCCCUUCCUCUGCUUCCCACCGGGGAUGCCUGCUCGGCCCUGGCCCGGGGCCCUUGCCAGCAGGAGGGUCUUCCUCCUCCCCCUCGCAGCAGCAGGACAUCCACGACGGGCGGGGCAGGGACCCUCUCGUUGUCGGCCAGGAACCUCACCCCACACACCCCCGGACAGCAGCCACCCCAUUCGUGAGGUCGUGAGGGCAGCCCGGCCCCCCUGGGACUCAGCGGGAGACUACGGGCAACCCCUUCGCGGAGCCUCCCCUUCCCUCGGAAGCCCCCCUUCCAGAAGCCAAGCACCACGCCGGGCUGAGUCUCCACACCUGCACGUCCCAGGGGCAAGCCUGCUGCUGCUGGCUCGAGAGGUCGGCUGCCCACCGAGCCAAGGACACGCCCUCAGAACGCAGCCAGCCUGCCACCCCCUCCCAUCUUCGGGCCACCCGACCCCAUCCAACGGAAUGCCGCUUGGGAUGGCAGAACCCCGCCUCCCCUCUGAGUCGAGGCGCAUCGGGCCAUGGGGUCCGAGGGACCAUGCCUCGAGGGCAAGGGCCUGGGAACCUCCUUGGGCGUCCCCCCACCCAUCUCCGAGCCGGUGCCUGAGCCAGAGGACGCCCCGGGCAGCUGCGUGCGCAGGGGGCUCUGCUCGUGCUCUGGCGCCGUCUGGCGGACACAGGCUCCAACUGCAACGCGCCUGGCCCUUGGCCUGCCUCUCCCAGCCGCACCCCGGGGUCUGCGCUGGCCCGAGAC
rnacentral:lncRNA from 9 species